UCGGUACGAGGAUCGACCUCAGGACGGUGUACGUUUUUUGCCAUUUCCGAAGAAGUCAAACAACUUAGAAAAGUGUCUGAAAUGGAUAAAGGCCUGCGGAAGACCGCACUCACAGUUCAAUGUUGAACGGAUAACGAGAGCAACUUACAUUUGUUCAAAGCAUUUUGUCAACAAAAAUGGGCCAACAGAAGAAUAUCCCGACCCGAUACCAUUUGAUGGACGAACUCCAAAACCAGCAAGAAAAGUCCUCACCAAAAGAGUGAUUGAAACCCCAAAAGCUGCACAAAACAGACAAGUGAAAAGAAAAUUGAUCUACAGUGAAACAUCAGAAAUUCAAACAACAGAAAUAACACCAGAUUCCAACAAAGAAAAUAUACCACCAGAUUUUAACAAAGAAAACACUGUUGCUAUACAAACAGAAGG